AUUCAGCUGACCACUCCUAAAUAGGACGAAACGCGCGUCCUGGAU
rnacentral:hammerhead_ribozyme from 1 species